UGACUGAUCAGUGCGUGCAAGUUCUAGCCA
rnacentral:piRNA from 1 species